CUGCAUUUAAUGCACAGCAUUGUCCCCAAAAGCAUAAGCAAAGAUGACUAGUAUUCUUCCAAGUGUUUGUGUUUCUCUAGUGUGCCUCACAGCCUGUCUCGCUGAAACUGUUCUCCAGUCUCCUGGAGACCUCAUACAGAACCAAGAUGAACCUGCCAUGAUCAAAUGUGCACACAAUAUAAGGAGUUACGAUCGUAUUCUUUGGUACAAAAAGGACAUGGGCUUUAAGUUAAUGGGAUACCUUAAUCUUGAAAAUGACUACCCAGAGCCUGAAUUCACAAACAAGAUCAAACUGAGCGGAGAUGGAAGAAAUAAUGGCAAUUUGAUGAUCAACAGCCUCAGACUGAAUGACAGUGCAGUGUAUUUCUGUGCAGCGUAUUACACAGUGUUCACAAUCACCUCUGACUCAUACAAAAACCCUGCGAUACCAAAGCUUCAGCUUAUCUGUGGCUGCAAAUUCAACUCUACACCUGGACCUUCUAAAUGCACGGCAGGAAAUUGUUGUAAUCCUAAAAGCUGUGGAUAGGGGGCGCUGAGGGUCCAUACUAGACUACAGCCAUGAUCAUGUUGCAACGCUAAAAGGGGAUGAGGAAUCAUAUCAAACCAAACUUUAUUUUUUUUCACUCCAGUCUAUAUCAACAUGAUCAGAGUCCUCUUUGUCUCGCUAUUUUUGCUAACAGGUUCUGUCGUCAAUGGCAGUGUUCAACAAAGUCCGUCAAAUCGAAUUAAAACCGAGAGAGAUUCUGCUGAAUUUGUCUGCACACACAACAUCACAUCAUACACCAUGAUCUUCUGGUACAAACACACACGAGGACAUGCAUUUACAUUACUGGGAUAUAUCUGGAAUAAAAAUUAUUUUCCAGAGGAUGAUUUUAAAAAUAAAAUCAGUUUGAAUGGUGACGGAACCAAGAACGGAUCCUUAAAAAUCGUAGAUCUUGCUCUGAGUGACAGUGCGAUGUACUUCUGCGCUGCGAGUUUACACAGUGUGAUGUGCACUCAUGACACAAUACAUAAACUCUGAAAACAGCAGAAUCAUGAAGCGUCUGCACCUGCUCAACAGAUCUGAUACACACAUGCCGGUGGCAGUCGUGUGGUCUGAAUAUCAAUAGGAAAACUUAUACAGGUCACAUAAUGAAUUCACAUCUUGUUUGAUGAAAUU